AAUCAACGCUGGCGGCGUGCCUCAGACAUGCAAGUCGAACGAUUAAGACUUCCUUCGGGAAGUGCAUAAAGUGGCGCACGGGUGAGUAACACGUAAGUAAUCUACCUUUGAGUGGGGAAUAACCCGGGGAAACCCGAGCUAAUACCGCAUAAUGCAGCGGCAUCGCAAGAUGACAGUUGUUAAAGGAGCAAUCCGCUUAAAGAGGAGCUUGCGGCAGAUUAGCUAGUUGGUAAGGUAAUGGCUUACCAAGGCUACGAUCUGUAUCCGGUCUAAGAGGACGGUCGGACACACUGACACUGAAUAACGGGUCAGACUCCUACGGGAGGCAGCAGUCGGGAAUUUUGGGCAAUGGGCGAAAGCCUGACCCAGCAACGCCGCGUGAAGGAUGAAGUAUUUCGGUAUGUAAACUUCGAAAGAAUAGGAAGAAUAAAUGACGGUACUAUUUAUAAGCUCCGGCUAACUACGUGCCAGCCGCCGCCGUAAGAC
rnacentral:rRNA from 1 species